rnacentral:rRNA from 2 species
GCGGCGGACGGGUGAGUAACACGUGGGCAACCUGCCUAUAAGACUGGGAUAACUUCGGGAAACCGGAGCUAAUACCGGAUACGUUCUUUUCUCGCAUGAGAGAAGAUGGAAAGACGGUUUACGCUGUCACUUAUAGAUGGGCCCGCGGCGCAUUAGCUAGUUGGUGAGGUAAUGGCUCACCAAGGCGACGAUGCGUAGCCGACCUGAGAGGGUGAUCGGCCACACUGGGACUGAGACACGGCCCAGACUCCUACGGGAGGCAGCAGUAGGGAAUCUUCCGCAAUGGACGAAAGUCUGACGGAGCAACGCCGCGUGAACGAAGAAGGCCUUCGGGUCGUAAAGUUCUGUUGUUAGGGAAGAACAAGUACCAGAGUAACUGCUGGUACCUUGACGGUACCUAACCAGAAAGCCACGGCUAACUACGUGCCAGCAGCCGCGGUAAUACGUAGGUGGCAAGCGUUGUCCGGAAUUAUUGGGCGUAAAGCGCGCGCAGGUGGUUCCUUAAGUCUGAUGUGAAACCCCACGGCUCAACCGUGGAGGGUCAUUGGAAACUGGGGGACUUGAGUGCAGAAGAGGAAAGUGGAAUUCCAAGUGUAGCGGUGAAAUGCGUAGAGAUUUGGAGGAACACCAGUGGCGAAGGCGACUUUCUGGUCUGUAACUGACACUGAGGCGCGAAAGCGUGGGGGAGCAAACAGGAUUAGAUACCCUGGUAGUCCACGCCGUAAACGAUGAGUGCUAAGUGUUAGAGGGUUUCCGCCCUUUAGUGCUGCAGCUAACGCAUUAAGCACUCCGCCUGGGGAGUACGGCCGCAAGGCUGAAACUCAAAGGAAUUGACGGGGGGCCCGCACAAGCGGUGGAGCAUGUGGUUUAAUUAGAAGCAACGCGAAGAACCUUACCAGGUCUUGACAUCCUCUGACAACCCUAGAGAUAGGGCUUUCCCCUUCGGGGGACAGAGUGACAGGUGGUGCAUGGUUGUCGUCAGCUCGUGUCGUGAGAUGUUGGGUUAAGUCCCGCAACGAGCGCAACCCUUGAUCUUAGUUGCCAGCAUUCAGUUGGGCACUCUAAGGUGACUGCCGGUGACAAACCGGAGGAAGGUGGGGAUGACGUCAAAUCAUCAUUCCCCUUCAGACCUGGGCUACACACGUGAUACAAUGGAUGGUACAAAGGGCUGCAAACCUGCGAAGGUAAGCGAAUCCCAUAAAGCCAUUCUC